UACGGAGGGGGCUAGCGUUGUUCGGAAUUACUGGGCGUAAAGCGCACGUAGGCGGCUUUGCAAGUGACGGGUGAAAUCCCUCGGCUUAACCGAGGAACUGCCUGUCAAACUGCAUGGCUUGAGACCAGGAGAGGUGAGUGGAAUUCCCAGUGUAGCGGUGAAAUGCGUAGAUAUUGGGAGGAACACCAGUGGCGAAGGCGGCUCACUGGACUGGUACUGACGCUGAGGCGCGAAAGCGUGGGGAGCAAACAGG
rnacentral:rRNA from 1 species